UCCUAAAGUUUGUAUGUCAUCUGGUCCAACUCUCUCUCUAAUUCAAGAAUUCCUUCUCUACCAUUCAUGGAAAUAGGGAAGAGAGGGAAAGAGCAUGGUAUUUGUGGAAUCAGCAAGCCUGGGCCUGAGUCCUGCCUUUAGCCCAUUCAACUUUUAUGUUACCUUUGGUCUUAGGUAAAAUACAAACCAUCUCAACCUCAGUUGCACAUGUAAGUGCUGGGGUACAUAGUAAAUGUUUAAUAAAAUAAUCUUGAAUGAAUGAAUGUGAUAGUAGCAUCAAUCUCUCAGAGUUAUACUUCCAGUUUUCCAAAUAAUUCUCCUCGUCUCCACUGUGCUUUUGGACACUCUGUACUCCCUGUUUGGGAUUAGCUUUGCUUUCUUUCUCAUUAUUUCACCUGGUUCACUUGUACCUGUCCUGAGAAAUCUCUCCUGAUAAGAGCCAUCUAUCCGAGCCGCCUGCAGUUUAAGGUACCACUUUUAAGCAGCCCAUGCUUAUGUCCAUCGCUGAACUCAUCAUGUGGUAGAAUCGUGUCUCCAUCUAUGUCCACCCACUAGACUGUGAGUUCCACAGGACAGGGACUAUGCUUAUUCUUCUAGUUAUAUACUUUCCUCAAGUACAGAAGGUCAAAUGAAUUAAAUUCCUCAGGUCAGGGAAACGAAAUGGAGACUAAAAUGACAGUAGAAAAGAUCGAUGAAACUAAGAUCUGGUUUUUUGAAAAGAUAAAACAGACAAACUUUUAGUGGGACAAACCAAGAAAAAAAGAGAGAGGAUUUAAAUAACUAGAAUCAGAAAUGAAUGCGAAGACAUUAUAAAUGAUACCACAGAAAUCCAAAGGAUCAUAUGAACAAUUAUAUGCCAAAAAAUUGGACAACCUAGAAGAAAUGGAUAAAUCCCUAGAAACACACACAUAUUAAGAAUGAAUCAUGAAGAAACAGAAAAUCUGAACAGAUCAAUUACUAGUAAGAAGAUUUAAUCAGUAAUCAAAAAUCUCCCAUCAAAGAAAAAUCCAGAACCAGAUGGUUUCGCUGGUAAAUUCUACCAAACUUUUGAGGAAGAAUUAACACAAUCAUUCUCAAAACCUUCCAACAAAUUGAAGAGGAAGGAAGACUCUCAAACUCAUUUCACAAGGCCAGCAUUACCCUGAUGCCAAAGCAUGAUAAAGAUACUACAAGAAGUUACAGACUAAUAACCUUGAUGAAUAUAGAUACAGAAAUUCUCAACAAAAUACUAGCAAAACUAAUUCAAUAGCACACUAAAAAUAUUAUACACCAUGAUCAAGUGGGAUUUAUCUUUUGGAUGCAAAGGUGAUUCAACGUAUGCAAACCAAUGUGUGAUACACCACAUUAAUAGAAGAAAAGGUAAAAAUCUUAUGAUACUCUCAAUAGAUGCAGAAAAAUCAUUUGAUGAGAUUCAACAUCCUUUCAUCAUAAAAACUCUCAAAAAAAAUGAGUACAGAAGGAACAUACCUAAAUAUAAGAAAGGCCAUAUAUGACAAACCCACAGCUAACAACACACUAGUGGUGAAAGGUUAAAAGCUUUCCUACUAAGAUCAGGAAAAAUAGAAGCUUGUUCCUUCCCACCACUCCUAUUCAACAUAGUACUGGAAGUCCUCGCCAGAGCAAUUAGGCAAGAAAAAGAAAUAAAAGGCAUACAAAUCAGAAAGGAAGAAGUAAAAUUGUCUCUCUUUGCAGAUGAUAUAAUCUCAUACGUAUAGAAAAUUCCCAACUCCACCAAAAAUCUAUUAAAACUAAUAAACAAAUUCAGUAAAGUUUCAGGAUAUAAAGCAACACAUACAAAAAUCAGUUGCCCUUUUAUACGUUAACAACUAAACCGUCUGAAAAAGAAAUAAAGAAAACAAUCCCCUUUAUGACAGCAUCAAAAAUAAUAAAAUAGGAAUUAAACAAAGAGAUGAAAUAUCUGUACACUGAAAAUUACAAGACGUUAAUGAAAGAAAUUGCAGAACACACAAAUAAAUGGAAAGAUAUACUGUGUCCCUUGGUUGGAAGAAUUCAUAUUGUUAAAACAUCCAUUAUACCCAAAACCAUCUACAGAUUUGAUGGAAUCCCUAUCAAAAUUCCAAUGGCAAUUUUAUAGUAAUAGGAGAAAAAACCCUAAAAUUCAUACCGAAUCACAAAGUACACUGAAUAGCCUA
ensembl:lncRNA